ACCAGAGUUUUCUCCAAUGCUCAAAUUCGAAUUCCCAUCAAACGUGUUGGAAAGAGGUGUUAUUUUGCAAUUAAGGCUGUAUUAGAUUCGGCAUCGAUUGAUGAACUGAGGCAUGAAGAACCAGAUAUCAAGAAUCCAGCUUUGUCAACUUCCUAUCGAAAUUCUGAGUUUUCAAAGCCUAAUCAGACUGUUUUGGAUGCUCAAACCAAAGUUUGUACUGGCCCCACACAAACCAAGCCUCUCAAUGAGGAACAAGCCCUCAAAGUUUUGGACACCAUUUUGAGAUCAGCAAAGGGAGAGCUCAAAGAUGAAGAGCCAGUAUCAAAAGCACAACUUGGGGCAUUUUUUACUGCAAUGACAAUUCGUG
rnacentral:misc_RNA from 1 species